rnacentral:rRNA from 1 species
CUGACUGCUAUCGGAUUGAUACUAAGCCAUGCGAGUCUUGCAGUAAUGCAAGGCAUACGGCUCAGUAACACGUAGUCAACCUACCCUAUGGACGAGAAUAAUCUCGGGAAACUGAGCAUAAUUCUUGAUAGAUCAUAAUGCCUGGAAUGGUUUAUGGUUAAAAUGAUUCGUCGCCAUAGGAUGGACUGCGGCCUAUCAGCUUGUUGGUGAGGUAAUGGCCCACCAAGGCGAUUACAGGUACGGGCUCUGAGAGGAGAAGCCCGGAGAUGGGUACUGAGACACGGACCCAGGCCCUAUGGGGCGCAGCAGGCGAGAAAACUUUGCAAUGUGCGAAAGCACGACAAGGUUAAUCCGAGUGAUUUCUGCUAAAGAAAUCUUUUGCCAGUCGUAAAACCGCUGGUGAAUAAGGGGUGGGCAAGUUCUGGUGUCAGCCGCCGCGGUAAAACCAGCACCUCAAGUGGUCAGGAUGAUUAUUGGGCCUAAAGCAUCCGUAGCCGGCUUUGUAAGUUUUCGGUUAAAUCCAUGUGCUCAACGCAUGGGCUGCCGAAAAUACUGCAUAGCUAGGGAGUGGGAGAGGUAGACGGUACUCAGUAGGUAGGGGUAAAAUCCUUUGAUCUAUUGAUGACCACCUGUGGCGAAGGCGGUCUACCAGAACACGUUCGACGGUGAGGGAUGAAAGCUGGGGGAGCAAACCGGAUUAGAUACCCGGGUAGUCCCAGCUGUAAACGAUGCAGACUAGAUGAUGCAUUGGCAUAAUAGCCAUUGCAGUGUCUCAGGGAAGCCGUUAAGUCUGCCGCCUGGGAAGUACGUACGCAAGUAUGAAACUUAAAGGAUUGGCGGGGAGCACCACAAGGG